GACGAACGCUGGCGGCGUGCCUAAUACAUGCAAGUCGAGCGAAUCUGAUGGGAGCUUGCUCCUUGAUGAUUAGCGGCGGACGGGUGAGUAACACGUGGGUAACCUGCCUGUAAGACUGGGAUAACUCCGGGAAACCGGGGCUAAUACCGGAUAACUUUUUUCUUCGCAUGAGGGAGAAUUGAAAGAUGGCUUCGGCUAUCACUUACAGAUGGACCCGCGGCGCAUUAGCUAGUUGGUGAGGUAACGGCUCACCAAGGCGACGAUGCGUAGCCGACUUGAGAGGGUGAUCGGCCACACUGGGACUGAGACACGGCCCAGACUCCUACGGGAGGCAGCAGUAGGGAAUCUUCCGCAAUGGACGAAGGUCUGACGGAGCAACGCCGCGUGAGUGAUGAAGGUUUUCGGAUCGUAAAACUCUGUUGUUAGGGAAGAACAAGUAUCGUUCGAAUAGGGCGGUACCUUGACGGUACCUAACCAGAAAGCCACGGCUAACUACGUG
rnacentral:rRNA from 1 species